rnacentral:rRNA from 1 species
UACAGAGGUCUCAAGCGUUGUUCGGAUUCAUUGGGCUUAAAGGGCGCGUAGGCGGGCGCACAAGUCAGGGGUGAAAUCCCACGGCUCAACCGUGGAAGUGCCUUUGAUACUGUGGGCCUUGAGGGAGGUAGGGGCGUGCGGAACUUCCGGUGGAGCGGUGAAAUGCGUAGAUAUCGGAAGGAACACCGGUGGCGAAAGCGGCGCGCUGGACCUCUACUGACGCUGAGGCGCGAAAGCCAGGGGAGCAAACGGGG